rnacentral:rRNA from 1 species
UCGCCUGUUUAUCAAAAACAUGGUCUUUUGUUGAUAUAAAAGGUCUGACCUGCCCACUGAAAUGUUUGGUUAAAGGGCUGCAGUAUUUUUGACUGUACAAAGGUAGCGUGGUAAUUUGUCUAUUAAUUGUUGACUUGAAUGAAUGGUUUGACGAGAUGUUAGCUGUCUCCAUUUAAUGAAUAUAAUUUAAAUUAAUUUUUUAGUGAAGAAGCUGAAAUGUUUUUAAGGGACGAAAAGACCCUAUAGAUUUUGAGUAUUAUCAAUUUGUUUAUAUUAGGUUUAGAUAGAUUUUUUGGUAAUAUUUUUGCUGGGGCGGCGAUUGAAGAUGUGAAUCUUCAGUUGGUUAGAAGCAUUGUUGGGUGUGGUGAUCUUGUGUUAUAAAUAAGAAGAAAAAAAUACCUUAGGGAUAACAGCGUUAUAGAUCUUGAGAGUUCUUAUCGACAGAUUUGUUUGCGACCUCGAUGUUGAAUUAGGAGUGGUAGUAGGUGGAAGGAUUUAAUUUACCAGGUCUGUUCGACCUUUGAAAUUCUACGUGAUCUGAGUUCAGACCGGA